GCCAAGCCCUAACCCUUCACAGGACUCAGGGCAGCAGCUCCAUGGUGGAUUAGAGUCUGAGCGCAAGGAAAAGGACAAGAACAAGCUCUUAGAAGAACAAGAGGCAUGGGAAGUUCCCGAACACAGGACACUGAUGACUCACUUCUCCCUUGAGUCCAAACCCAUCUGGACUGCUUGCAAGAAGUUCUUGGCAGUGGCCCACAACCACCUGGAAGCCGGCCAACCAAUUCUAACUGCGACCUGCUGACUGGCAACUCAUCACCAUCGUGUUCCAGAUUAGUUCAAUAACUAUACCAAGCAGCUUUGUGUUCCA
rnacentral:lncRNA from 1 species